rnacentral:piRNA from 1 species
UGUCCGUGGAGAUGCAAGUGCCUUGCAAGG